GAUGAACGCUGGCGGCAGGCUUAACACAUGCAAGUCGAGCGAGGACUUCGGUCCUAGCGGCGGACGGGUGAGUAACGCGUGGGAACGUGCCCUUUGCUACGGAAUAGCCCCGGGAAACUGGGAGUAAUACCGUAUGUGCCCCUUGGCCUUGGCGGUCUUGGGGGAAAGAUUUAUCGGCAAAGGAUCGGCCCGCGUUGGAUUAGGUAGUUGGUGGGGUAAUGGCCCACCAAGCCGACGAUCCAUAGCUGGUUUGAGAGGAUGAUCAGCCACACUGGGACUGAGACACGGCCCAGACUCCUACGGGAGGCAGCAGUGGGGAAUCUUAGACAAUGGGGGCAACCCUGAUCUAGCCAUGCCGCGUGAGUGAUGAAGGCCUUAGGGUUGUAAAGCUCUUUCAGCUGGGAAGAUAAUGACGGUAGCGUGAGAAGAAGCCCCGGCUAACUUCGUGCCAGCCGCCGCCGUAA
rnacentral:rRNA from 1 species